rnacentral:rRNA from 1 species
AGCAUGCAAGUCAAACGGGAUGUAGUAAUACAUCUAGUGGCGAACGGGUGAGUAACGCGUGGAUGAUCUACCUAUGAGAUGGGGAUAACUACUAGAAAUAGUAGCUAAUACCGAAUAAGGUCAAUUAAUUUGUUAAUUGAUGAAAGGAAGCCUUUAAAGCUUCGCUUGUAGAUGAGUCUGCGUCUUAUUAGUUAGUUGGUGGGGUAAAUGCCUACCAAGGCGAUGAUAAGUAACCGGCCUGAGAGGGUGAACGGUCACACUGGAACUGAGAUACGGUCCAGACUCCUACGGGAGGCAGCAGCUAAGAAUCUUCCGCAAUGGGCGAAAGCCUGACGGAGCGACACUGCGUGAAUGAAGAAGGUCGAAAGAUUGUAAAAUUCUUUUAUAAAUGAGGAAUAAGCUUUGUAGGAAAUGACAAAGUGAUGACGUUAAUUUAUGAAUAAGCCCCGGCUAAUUACGUGCCAGCAGCCGCGGUAAUACGUAAGGGGCGAGCGUUGUUCGGGAUUAUUGGGCGUAAAGGGUGAGUAGGCGGAUAUAUAAGUCUAUGCAUAAAAUACCACAGCUCAACUGUGGAACUAUGUUGGAAACUAUAUGCCUAGAGUCUGAUAGAGGAAGUUAGAAUUCCUGGUGUAAGGGUGGAAUCUGUUGAUAUCAGGAAGAAUACCGGAGGCGAAGGCGAACUUCUGGGUCAAGACUGACGCUGAGUCACGAAAGCGUAGGGAGCAAACAGGAUUAGAUACCCUGGUAGUCUACGCUGUAAACGAUGCACACUUGGUGUUAA